AACGAACGCUGGCGGCAUGCCUAACACAUGCAAGUCGAACGAGACCUUCGGGUCUAGUGGCGCACGGGUGCGUAACGCGUGGGAACCUGCCCUUAGGUUCGGAAUAACUCCCCGAAAGGGGUGCUAAUACCGGAUAAUGUCUUCGGACCAAAGAUUUAUCGCCUUUGGAUGGGCCCGCGUUGGAUUAGCUAGUUGGUAGGGUAAAAGCCUACCAAGGCGACGAUCCAUAGCUGGUCUGAGAGGAUGAUCAGCCACACUGGGACUGAGACACGGCCCAGACUCCUACGGGAAGCGGCAGUGGGGAAUAUAGGACAGUGGGCGAAAGCCUGAUCCAGCAAUGCCGCGUGAGUGAUGAAGGCCUUAGAGUUGUAAAGCUCUUUUACCCGGGAUGAUAAUGACAGUACCGAGAGAAUAAGCUCCGGCUAACUCCGUG
rnacentral:rRNA from 1 species